UACGGGGGGGGGUAAGCGUUGUUCGGAUUUACUGGGCGUAAAGGGCGCGUAGGCGGCCUCUGCAAGUCGACUGUGAAAUCUCCGGGCUUAACCCGGAACGGUCAGCCGAUACUGCAGGGCUAGAGUGCAGAAGGGGCAACUGGAAUUCUCGGUGUAGCGGUGAAAUGCGUAGAUAUCGAGAGGAACACCUGCGGCGAAGGCGGCGAUCUGGGAAGAUACUGACGCUGAGGUGCGAAAGCGUGGGGAGCAAACAGG
rnacentral:rRNA from 1 species